GAUUCUGCCAGUUGGUCCAUCUUUUGAUGAGUACUGAUUGUGUGGGGUCUAUCCGCCUGGGGAUACGUAAUGUACUUUAUUGUAUGUUGCGGAUAGCCAGGACUUUUACCUUGAGAAAAUUAGAGUGUUCAAAGCAGGCCUACGCCUGAAUACGUUAGCAUGGAAUAAUAGAAUAGGACGUGCGGUUCUAUUUUGUUGGUUUCUAGAGUCGCCGUA
rnacentral:rRNA from 1 species